AGAGAAAUUUUCCCUCUAGCUACUUGCAUCACNGAAAAGAUGAUGCAAGACCUACUAUGUCGAAUAAAAUUCUAGGUAGAAUUAUGAUAAUCCUCAUUGGCUGCCUAUGUGUCUUGACCAAAUUACGUGCCAGCAGUCGCGGUAAUACGUAGAAGACUAGUGUUAUUCAUGUUUAAUCGGUUUAAAGGGUACCUAGACGGUAGAUCAAGCUUUUACAUAUAAAUUAUGUUAAUUAAAGGACUAAUUUGCUAGAGUUACUUACGAGGGGGUAUUAAAGUACUGCUGGUGUAGAGAUGAAAUUCUGUCAUACCUCUUUUCGAAAGAAAAAUCAUGGCACAGGUAUAGGCGAAGGCAUCCCCUUAUGUGAUAACUGACGUUGAGGGACGAAGGCUUUGUGUAACAAACAGGAUUAGAUACCCUAGUAGUUGAAGCAGAAAAUGAUGAAUGUCAUAGAUUAGAUAUAUAAGUUUAUUCUAUAAAUGAAAGUGUAAGCAUUCCACCUCAGGAGUAAUUUGGCAACAUUGGAAUUGAAAUCAUUAGACCGUUUCUGAAACCAGUAGUGAAGUAUGUUGUUUAAUUUGAUGAUCCGCAAAAAACCUUACCACAAUUUGAAUAUUUAUAUUUUUUUUUUAUNGUUUUCUUCUUAAUUUUCUUCUAAUAACAUAUUCAACAUGGAAAAAGAAGAAAGUUAAUAANGAGGCAAUAAUAUAUUUUUACAAGCGUUGCACGGCUGUCUUCAGUUUAAUGUCCGCGAGACUUUGGUUAGUUCCCAUUAAA
rnacentral:rRNA from 1 species